UACGUAGGGCGCAAGCGUUAUCCGGAAUUAUUGGGCGUAAAGAGCUCGUAGGCGGUUUGUCGCGUCUGCCGUGAAAGUCCGGGGCUCAACCUGGGAAUGGCGAUGGAUACUGGCGAGCUAGAGUGCGGUAGAGGAGAGUGGAAUUCCCGGUGUAGCGGUGAAAUGCGCAGAUAUCGGGAGGAACACCCGUGGCUAAGGCGGCUCUCUAGUACGGUACUGACGCUGAGACGCGAAAGCGUGGGGAGCGAACAGG
rnacentral:rRNA from 1 species